rnacentral:lncRNA from 1 species
CGGGGGGAUUUGCCGUGGCUCACACCCCCAACCCCUCCCCACCCUGCAGAUCUACGUCAGCGUGCCGGGCUCCAAGAAAAUCAUCCUGGAGCUGCCCCUCGUCAUCGGCAGCCGCUCCGGCAUCGGCAGCCGCAGCUCCAGCAUGGCCAGCCAGGCCAGCUCCGAGAUGAGCUGGGUGGACCUGAACCUCCCCGAUGCUCCAGAAGCCCCGCCGUGCUACCUGGACAUCGUCCCCGAGGAUCACCGCCUCGAGAGCCCCACCACGCCGCUGCUGGACGACGCCGACAGCUUCGACAGCCCCAUCUUCAUGUACGCGCCGGAGUUCAAGUUCAUGCCACCGCCCACCUACACCGAGGUGGAUCCCUGCGUGGCCAACAACAACAACCACCCCGGCACCGCCAGUACCACCAGCACCAGUAACACCAGUAACACCAGUAACACCAGCACCGGCCCCGUGCAGUGAGCGCACCCGGCGCCUCCCUCUGCUUCCUGACCCUGCGGGCGCUGGAGCCGCGUUCUGCCCCGCGCCCACCGCAGCCGCACCCGGGGGGGGUGCGGGGCCCGGAAUCGUGUGCUGGGAGGGGGGGUUCCCGGGGGGGUUCCCGGCCCUCGCCGUCCUCGUGUCCUGGGCCGUGUGUCCGUCCGGGCGCUGCUGGGCGAAGCGCUGCUGUGCGCGGCCCGGGCCCGGCCGCCGCUCUCAGGUUGAGUUCCGUGUGUGUUUUCCGGCCCCACGGCGCCGUGGGGCGCUGACCCAUAGGGGUGGGGGGGGAUGGGACCCUCCCCCCCGCCUUGGCCGUGGGGCGCUGCAGAGAACAGCUCCUUUUCUACCGUUGUUUUGUAUUCGUGU